GGGCCGGUAGCUCAACCGGUAGAGCACAACACUUUUAAUGUUGGGGCAGUGGGUUCGAGUCCCACCCGGCCUACCA
rnacentral:tRNA from 1 species